ensembl:lncRNA
UAAUAAGUGAAAGUGAAAGUGACGAGACAUACAGCCAAGUAUGGUGACCCAUACUCAGAAACACAUAACUGUAAACACGGUGAAGAUGCUGGUGUUGGUUGUUCAGCUAUGUUAAAUCUUAAGCAUCUUCACACAUUAUUUUGGGGAAAUUACAUAAAGAUUAAUACAUUUCAUAAUUUCUCCACACAUGCAGCUGUUUCUCCUGGAGAAAAUAUCCAGUUCAGUUGCACAACACCUAAACCAAGAUGCAAAGCUAAUGCUGAAUUCCAGCUCUUCAGAAACGGACCAUCUGUAUCCUCACAGACACAUGAAUCUAGUGUGACUUUCAACCUUGUUAAUGUAGACGUCUCACAUCAGGGCAGCUACAGCUGUCGUUACUCCUACCAAAACAACAUCAAGUCACCUUUGAGCAACACUGUAUUCAUCACUGUGGUGAACUUGCAGCAGCCCAAUAUUUUGCACAAUGCUCCUGAUGGAGGGUUUCAUGUGGGGCCUCAGGGGCCAGUGAUCACCAGGGGUCACAGUUUCACUAUCAUCUGUUCAACUCACUCUCAGUUUCCUGGAGGAUCUUUUCACCUGUUCAGAGGAUCAAGCAUCACCAGGACUGAGUCAGCUGUCAGUCACUCUGCUUCCUUCUUCUUUCCUGAGGCAGAUUAUUCACACGAGGGAAACUACAGUUGUGUUUAUGAAGUCAUUGUCUCCUCACGCUCCUUCUGUUCAUCUGCCUCCGAACUGCUGUUCAUCACUAUCACAGGUACUGAUGUGUAAGAGUCUAAAAACAAGCUGAACUGCUGGUAAUGAAAGUUUAAUUAAAUCACGUGUGUCUCUUUCAGCCUCCCUGCUUCCUGUCAUUGGUGCUGCAGUGUCAGCUGUGCUGCUCUUAUUGUCUGCCCUCAUAAUCAUCAUCCUGCUGAAGAGAAGACAAAAGCAAAGGAACAAGGAAACUUUCUUGAAGUUCUCCUUUAGCAAUGGUAACUCUGAAUUUCAUGAAAACAUCAGAUUAUGUCUUAAGUUUUAACAUUUUACCUUCCAGCAACACUGUUAAUUAACAACUUCCUUUAAUAAAUUUGCCCUUCAUCUCUAUGCA